CUCAAAUAUGAAUCAGUGCUGCUCUGGAAAAAAAAAAAUCAUCUUAGUGUUGCAGUGUCAACAACAUUUUAGAGCACAACUCUUCAGUCCUGGCUUUAUUCACUUCAGGCAGAAUACCAUCAUAUUGACAUUCAUGAAUUUUCCCAAACCAAGAGGAAGUGGUCGGGCCUUAUCAAUAAAAGCAGCAUUAUGAGCUGGUUGUCCUGGAGGAUUGGAACUCUGACAGGGUGAGCAAGACUCUGACCUGAAGCAAGGGUGACUUAUUUUUAUAACAAAG